rnacentral:rRNA from 1 species
GUACGGAAGGCAGCAGUGAGGAAUAUUGUGCAAUGGGCGAAAGCCUGACACAGCGACGCCGCGUGGGCGAUGAAGGCCUUCGGGUCGUAAAGCCCUUUUGUCAGGGACGAGUGAGGACGGUACCUGGCGAAUAAGUCUCGGCUAACUACGUGCCAGCAGCCGCGGUAAAACGUAGGAGGCGAGCGUUAUCCGGAUUCACUGGGCGUAAAGCGCGCGUAGGCGGUUAGGUAAGUCGGACGUGAAAGCCCCUGGCUCAACUGGGGGAGGCCGUUCGAUACUGCCUGGCUUGAGGGUGAGAGAGGAGAGUGGAAUUCCCGGUGUAGCGGUGGAAUGCGUAGAUAUCGGGAGGAACACCAGUGGCGAAGGCGACUCUCUGGCUCACUCCUGACGCUGAUAGCGCGAAAGCGUGGGGAGCAAACGGGAUUAGAUACCCCGGUAGC